rnacentral:rRNA from 1 species
GGGAGUGGCGCACGGGCGCGUAACGCGUGGGAACCUGCCCUUAGGUUCGGAAUAACUCAGAGAAAUUUGAGCUAAUACCGGAUAAUGUCUUCGGACCAAAGAUUUAUCGCCUUUGGAUGGGCCCGCGUUGGAUUAGCUAGUUGGUGGGGUAAAGGCCUACCAAGGCGACGAUCCAUAGCUGGUCUGAGAGGAUGAUCAGCCACACUGGGACUGAGACACGGCCCAGACUCCUACGGGAGGCAGCAGUGGGGAAUAUUGGACAAUGGGCGAAAGCCUGAUCCAGCAAUGCCGCGUGAGUGAUGAAGGCCUUAGGGUUGUAAAGCUCUUUUACCCGAGAUGAUAAUGACAGUAUCGGGAGAAUAAGCUCCGGCUAACUCCGUGCCAGCAGCCGCGGUAAUACGGAGGGAGCUAGCGUUGUUCGGAAUUACUGGGCGUAAAGCGCACGUAGGCGGCUUAUUAAGUCAGAGGUGAAAUCCCGGGGCUCAACCCCGGAACUGCCUUUGAAACUGGUAAGCUAGAAUCCUGGAGAGGCGAGUGGAAUUCCGAGUGUAGAGGUGAAAUUCGUAGAUAUUCGGAAGAACACCAGUGGCGAAGGCGACUCGCUGGACAGGUAUUGACGCUGAGGUGCGA